UACAGAGGGGGCAAGCGUUGUUCGGAAUUACUGGGCGUAAAGGGCGCGUAGGCGGCCCGCUAAGUCGAACGUGUAAUCCCCGAGCUCAACUCGGGAACUGCGUCCGAUACUGGCGGGCUUGAAUCCGGGAGAGGGAUGCGGAAUUCCAGGUGUAGCGGUGAAAUGCGUAGAUAUCUGGAGGAACACCGGUGGCGAAGGCGGCAUCCUGGACCGGUAUUGACGCUGAGGCGCGAAAGUUAGGGGAGCAAACGGG
rnacentral:rRNA from 1 species